rnacentral:lncRNA from 1 species
UGUCUUCUGCUAUUGCAUGAGGAAUGACAGCAGUUUUCUAAGAGGCUCACAAGCAACUCGGGGGAAUAAUGUCCUUAGGCGCCCUCUGACUGGCUUGCAGCCCUGGCACCCUGCACCUCUGCGUUAACCCCAUAUCAGACCAGAGCUGCAGCACCCCCCUGACGGCACUUCGAGCGAUCAGUACUUUCAGCAUCCACCCUCCUCUCUGGGCGAGAUUCCUGCGAAACUGCAGCUCCCACAGCUUGCCUGAGAAAAAUCUCAUGGAUACGGCGGCCGUGAGCGUGGUGGGAAGAGAGAUCUGCCAUCUGCUUCUAGGAACAGAUGAGGUGGAUGUGCAGAGGCUGACGACAGACCACAGUCCUGCGUUCUCUGUUGCAUCUCUGCUCUCUGCCUACCUGAAGAGUACAGUGUGUCCCCACGGCCCAGCGCAGAGCAGAACAACACCUUCUCCAGAAGCCAGCACGCUCUCAGAGGCAGAGGACCAAGGCAAUACCAAAGCUGGGCUACCCACCAUAAUGCAGCACCUCACCUGCAGCUUUUAAGAGGUGCACGCACCUAUGCCUGAACACGGAGAAACAAGCUUUGUCGUAGGCCUUGGACAGCUUCACAGCUCUUUGGUCAGGCUUGUAAAAGAGGCUCCUGGUUCUACAACAUGCCCCAGGGGCUAGCUAUUGUCUGCUCUUGCAUUACAGCUUCUUCACAAAAGCCUCAGUCCACCAAAGUUGCCUUCAAGUUUUGCCAGGGAUGUUCCGAGGGCAAAAAGCUCCCUUUUUUUUUUUGCAACACUUCUAGACUGAGACUCGUCCCUUCUGCUGGGUGAACAGCCUCACUUGGGAGCGAACUGGCUGUAGAACCUCAGGAAGGAGGGAACCUAGCAGCUGCAUUCAAUAAAGAGGUUAAGCUAGGAACCUCA